AGCCACAUAACAGUGGCUGCUGCUGCACCUGACUGUGCCUAAUUACCUCUGGAAAGCAAUAUACUGCUUACAUUACAGAUUCCUAAGUGAAAAUUAGAGGCUGAGUUUAUAGAAUUACCAGCUCUACCCUUGUCAGAUCUUCUUCGUGUAUUUCAGCUGGAAAAAUUAUAGAGGGGACAUUAUGCUCCAUAGAAACCCGCAAUUACAGAGGAACAAACAUGUUCAGAACCAUUAGAGAUUCAUUUGAAGAUAAAUCUGUGAAAAACUGUUGAUUACCGAAUGGAAAAGCAAUUGUGGAGUUGCAAAGCAGUGGAAGAUUUUAUUCUGCAGAGUUCUGAUCACUGGGAAGACCAUUUGGUGAACAUAGCAUAUUGGUUUGUCUGGGGUACACCAACAUUGAUGCUCUCUAGACUAAAUGGCUAUUACGCGAAUAGGUCUGCAUGGAACCGAGUUUUUAUGGCACAUCUACACAGCUGAAACAAGAAGCUCAGGGACAAAGUUCUAGCAUGGGGCUCUUCAUGACUCAACCCCCUUAUGAGAGUAGGUUAUUCCCUAGUUUUGCUCAGGAGCACUCCAGCCAGCUCCUCUAAAGUGCUCUUGAGAGCCAACACUAAGCAGCACACAGAGGAACUAAGCUAUGACACAUGACCAGGGUUUGGUCUGGAGCCUUCUAUUUAUGAGUGUAGGCACAGCCUCACAGACUUGCACCUUGGUACCCUGUUCUUGAGAUGUGCUCAGCCUCGCUAUUGGCAGGACCUGAAGGAACAGCAAGGAGACAGCACUUUGCAGGCACAUACCUGCAGGUUAGUGACUGCUCCUGUAGGAGAAGUCCAAUGGGGCUGUGGCAGCACUGAGGAACCACACACUUACAUUGGUGGGAAGAGAAGAGAGAAAAUUAGAAACAGAAGGAAGAUCAAGGGAAAAGUUUAAGAACAUGUGGACAGUACAACUGAGAGGGAAGUCAUGAAGCCAAGAGUGCUAAGGAAGAUGAGAAAGGUAUGUGUGAAAUUCAUACCUUGCUUUGGAAGCAAACUGAAGUCACGGAUUGCUCCUCCUUUCCCUUUUCUCUUUCUUUCAGUAUCACUGACACCGACUUUUCAGGAUUUUUUGAAUGGAGUAUCUCUAGGCUACAAUGGUGGACAGAAGCAAUAGAAAUAAUUUAGCAUCUCCAGAGAACAGCUCAUCCAAUCUUCUACCUACCUGUUCUAGGAUGAAAAUAAAACAGAAAUGGACAUAUGAAAAGUCCUGCGUGUACAGAGUGAACAAAAAUUAGCAGAGGAGAAUUAUUCUUUCUCUGAGUUAACAUACAUUUCCAGGACAGUAACUUAACACGAUGUUACGUAUCCUUAAGCAGGACUUUAUGCCUGCCCUCAUCUUGGCUUUCCUUCACCUUCACAGCCUAGAGUUUGCAGCCCUCCUGCACAUGUUCAUUUUGUUGUUUUUAAACAAGUAUUAAAUAUAUGGGAAAUAGACCCCAGGAACAGCCAAUUCUUAGUGUGGUUUGGAAGAACUUCCAGUAGAGAUGAAAUUCCUUCUCUUUCUCGCAUGGAGUUAUGACUUGAUCUGUCUCUCCUCUCCUUUCAGCCUGUGCUGACAGCACUAGAAGCAAUGCCUAUUUUAAAAUGCAUAGUAUUUUUGUUUGUUCUUGUUAUUGUUUCCAAUUUCCUCUUAAAAGUGAAGCUUCAUUUUAUUCCAGAAUCAGCUUCUUCUUCUUCUUCUUCUUUUUUUUUUUUUAAUGGAAAAAACUCAGCCAUGGAAUAUUGUUUGCACUGACACUACUGAAUAGAGUGGUACAAAAAACUUGGUAUCUCAAAUGCCAUGAUAAUUGAAAUAUAUCAUUACGAGUAAAAACCAUCUCCAUGGGGAUGCUGUUCUCAAAAUCUGUGAAAUAAAAAAUUUAUAUGUGAUGUUAAUAUGCUAUCAAUCGUCUGAAAGGAGAUGAUACAAGUAACUGUCUUUGACUAUCAAGUAACUUUGAAAAAUAAAUUCCUGAUUUAAAUUUUC
ensembl:lncRNA